ensembl:lncRNA
CAACAAAUUAUAUCAGUCAUGAACAACAUUCAUUAAACAUGGCUGUCAGUGCCAGUGUAGUCUAAUAUACAGUGUAGUCUACACUGCAUAGAUAAUAUAUAUUUUUUAAUUUGUUCUAUAUAGUAUUGACAUGGUUUUUCCUGUUUAUAUUAACAAGUUAUAGGCUAGUAAAUUUAUGCAUAUUUUUAAGAGUAUUCAGUUUUUUUUUUUUUUUAAUCAUUUAUAAAUCAAUAGACAAUUUCUGCAUUAUUGAUUGAUCUUUUAUUUUAUUCUCCAGUUACCUGGAGGAGCUGGCAGAAACUGGACAAUUCAAAGGAGCUAAUACUGAAGAGGCAUCUGAUGCUGCUGAGUAAAAAAUGCAGCUGAAUGAGUUGAAUCAAAAGCCAUAAUCAGGUUUGUUCAUUCAAGCAUUUCAGAGGCAUGUGAGCUGAGAUUUCCCAUAAUAAAACAAUAACCAGGAUUAGCAACAUCAGGAGCUGAGCAAUUUUUGACAUCAGAGCUGUAGAUGAAUGGGAAUGCUAACAAUUUUUUUUUUUUUUUUAAUUUACUCACUCUUUUAGAUGGUCUUUAAUUUGUGUUCAGUGUGGUCUCUCUCUCUCUGUUUUUGCUUUCCUCCACCCCACUUCACUGAUGUGUGAAGGAUUUCAUCCACUCUGAAGAUGCAGAUCUACACCUCUAAUGAAGGACACCAGUGGUUUGUUAUCCUGCCCUCUCCUCACCAGUCUAAAGGAUGAACAUCUUUCAACUCAAUUUGAGCUGUGUGGCUCAACAGGCAGAAUGUGAGGUGAUUAUUAAACACCAGUGCAAUCUCCCCAGCCUGGAUAAAGCUGGAUAAAGGGAACAGGUAUGUGGUAGAAUCCUGUUUUCUCCUCCACACCAUCCUCCACUUCUUCAUUACAGACUGCGGCAUGGCACCUACUUGAAAGUCCACACGCAUCUCCCGCUCUCCGUGCUCCUGCGCAACCAGGAAUACCUUUAUUAAAUCAGAAAGGGAAGAAAUCUAAUUUAGGCUUGAUAUCAUGAACAGCAAUGUCCCUCGUCUGCCAUGAUUUCUUGUGAGAACAUUUUUC